rnacentral:rRNA from 1 species
CAACAGGGAUUGCCCUAGUAACGGCGAGUGAAGCGGCAACAGCUCAAAUUUGAAAUCUGGCUCUUUUAGAGUCCGAGUUGUAAUUUGCAGAGGGCGCUUUGGCUUUGGCAGCGGUCCAAGUUCCUUGGAACAGGACGUCACAGAGGGUGAGAAUCCCGUACGUGGUCGCUAGCUAUUGCCGUGUAAAGCCCCUUCGACGAGUCGAGUUGUUUGGGAAUGCAGCUCUAAAUGGGAGGUAAAUUUCUUCUAAAGCUAAAUAUUGGCCAGAGACCGAUAGCGCACAAGUAGAGUGAUCGAAAGAUGAAAAGCACUUUGGAAAGAGAGUCAAACAGCACGUGAAAUUGUUGAAAGGGAAGCGCUUGCAGCCAGACUUGCUUGCAGUUGCUCAUCCGGGCUUUUGCCCGGUGCACUCUUCUGCAGGCAGGCCAGCAUCAGUUUGGGCGGUGGGAUAAAGGUCUCUGACACGUUCCUCUCUUCGGGGAGGCCAUAUAGGGGAGACGUCAUACCACCAGCCUGGACUGAGGUCCGCGCAUCUGCUAGGAUGCUGGCGUAAUGGCUGUAAGCGGCCCGUCUUGAAACACGGACCAAGGAGUCUAACAUCUAUGCGAGUGUUUGGGUGUCAAGCCCGAACGCGUAAUGAAAGUGAACGGAGGUGGGAACCCGCAAGGGCGCACCAUCGACCGAUCCUGAAGUUUACGGAAGGAUUUGAGUAAGAGCAUGGCUGUUGGGACCCGAAAGAUGGUGAACUAUGCUUGAAUAGGGUGAAGCCAGAGGAAACUCUGGUGGAGGCUCGCAGCGGUUCUGACGUGCAAAUCGAUCGUCAAAUUUGGGCAUAGGGGCGAAAGACUAAUCGAAC